UGUGUCUCUCUCUCUCUCUGUGUUCCCGGAAGAAAAUCAAGCAAACAGCAUCUAUCUCGAUCGGCUCCGCACGUAAUUAUUACAGGUUGCUUGCUGACAGUGAUACACACACCCACCAACCAAGGCACAAAGCAUGAGCAUGUUAGCUACUGCUCAGUUAUACGCACAGAGAUGGAGCACGUCAGCUGGUGCUUCCGAAAUACAGAGCAUCAGCAGCUCAACUGGUGCUUCCGAGUACCGUAUUUUAUAUACCGGUGUGAAUCAAAGAGAAGAUGUAAGAAUCUCAUUAGACUCAAUUCCCAGGGACAGGUUCAAAAUCUGUAUAGAUUAUGAAGAGAGAACUCGAGUCUUCCAGGAUUCCUGGUGAGCAUGUUCCAGUAGAACUUCCUUAUGCUACUACAUACCACCUCCUUGCUGAGAGGAGUUUCUAUGUCCCUAUGCGUGAUGUCAAGCAAUUUUCAUCAAGGCCUAAAUGGACGCAUGUCUUGGCUUAUCAUCUUUCCAAGAUCGGUGUCCCACAAGGUGCGCAGCCAGCUCUUAUUGUAAGAAUACUUGAUUACAUUGAAGAGGCCGACAACGACAGCUUUGAGUUGCCUAUUCUUGUGCAUAUUGUGGAUGGCACUUAUCACUAUCUGAGGUUGGACCACGACAACGACAUCCUUGAUAGGGUUAUGAGGCAAUCCUCGGAAGCCUACAGGGCCAUGCUUAUUCCUGCAGCUCAAUCAUCCAUUCAGGGCUUGGAGAAUGUGAGGCUUGAUGAUCCUACUUUGGCCCCGUCGUCCGCAUGUAUUAUUUGUAUGGAGGGCCUCCUCCUUGAUCAUCAUGAUGAUCAUCACUCUGAUAAUAUUAAUGUCGUCCCUGCUUCACAAGAUGAAGAUGAUGACCAUGAUCAAGAUCAAGGUCAAGGGGUUGAUCGUCAUCGUCCACCAAUGAUGAUCAAACGCUUGCCCUGCUUACACCAGUUUCAUGAAGAUUGCAUCGUCCCGUGGCUGCAGAUCAAUCACUUGUGUCCCCUGUGCCGAUACCCGCUGGAAGUGCGCGAGUCAUCAAAACCCAAACGAAGGAGAUUAUCAUGAAAUAAUGAAGGGAGACCUGUAGCCAUGAUGCUCAGCUGGAACAAUAUAUGUUGCUGUCGAUCUUGAGUAUAAUCCUAGCACAAGAUCAAAAGAAUGCCUCCUAGAUCAGAAUGAUAUGAACAUUAUACGUACCUUGGUUUUCCGUAGGCAGAAGCUGGCUUGAUUAGUAUGUGCUCUUCGGGAUCAUAAAAUUAACAUGCAUGCAUGUGGGAUCAUUGUACCUGGUGUUCCUCUUCUAGAGGCUUGGCAAGCUGGGUGCAUGUCAUCAAGCCUUUAGAAGAAAGAAGAGUGGAGGUUGGAGUUGAGACUCAAGGUUAUUAGUCUUACACCUCCCAAAUAUUAAGAUGCUGAUAUUUCUGUACACAAGAGUGGAAGAAGAAGAACUGAAGAAGGGUAGUGUUGGUGCAUAGUAUUAUUGUUCUAAAGGAUUGCAUAAUUUAUGGUGGGGUGGGUGGAUCGAUGCCUUCGUGGAGGAAGCAUUUCAAAUUGCUGAGGAAAACCCGGAUAAGCUCUGGUAUUGAAAGGCGUGGUAGCUGCCAGCCAGGGGUGGCCGGUGUGCAAGUGGUGCCACCGCACAGGGCCCCUAAUUUUUUAGGGGCCCCAAUUUUUUUUCAUGUGUAUAAUAUAUGUAGAGUGCUGCUAUUUUCACCCACCUCAUAUUUUUCCACCCACCUUAUUUUAAAAAAUUUAAAGACAA